rnacentral:rRNA from 1 species
UACGUAGGGUGCAAGCGUUGUCCGGAAUUAUUGGGCGUAAAGAGCGUGUAGGCGGCCCGGUUAGUCCGCUGUGAAAGUCCAGGGCUCAACCCUGGAAUGCCGGUGGAUACUGUCGGGCUAGAGUCCGGAAGGGGCGAGUGGAAUUCCUGGUGUAGCGGUGAAAUGCGCAGAUAUCAGGAAGAACACCCGUGGCGAAAGCGGCUCUCUGGGACGGUACUGACGCUGAGACGCGAAAGCGUGGGGAGCGAACAGG